rnacentral:tmRNA from 1 species
GGGGGCGUAAAGGUUUCGACGGGGGGAGCGAGGCCUGGGCAGCGGGUAGCAGCGGGGGACCUGCUCUAAAAUCCUCCAAAACAAUAACUGACAACAAUCGUUAUCAGCUCCAGGCAGCCUGAGUGCUGCCUCGUUCCGCCCACAUUUGUGUCGUGUGGGGCCGGGGCGUCCUUUAGACACAGCACGUGAACGGACCUAAGCUUUGCGGACCGUCAUGAACUUAUGAAGCUACUGAAGCGUUAGCCUGGCGACCGGCGUGACGCAGAGGGAAUGUCGUUGAUCGCCUGCACCCGGAGAUACUCACGCUGAACUCUUUUCGGACAUGGGUUCGAUUCCCAUCGCCUCCACCA